rnacentral:rRNA from 1 species
AACGGGUGAGUAACACGCGAGUAAUCUGCCCUCCACUUUGGGAUAGCCACCGGAAACGGUGAUUAAUACCGGAUAUGACCUCGCAUCGCAUGGUGUGUGGUGGAGAGUUUUUCGGUGGGGGAUGUGCUCGCGGCCUAUCAGCUUGAUGGUGGGGUAAUGGCCUACCAUGGCCUCGACGGGUAGCCGGCCUGAGAGGGUGACCGGCCACACUGGGACUGAGACACGGCCCAGACUCCUACGGGAGGCAGCAGUGGGGAAUAUUGGACAAUGGGCGGAAGCCUGAUCCAGCAACGCCGCGUGAGGGAUGACGGCCUUCGGGUUGUAAACCUCUUUCAGCACAGACGAAGCGAAAGUGACGGUAUGUGCAGAAGAAGCACCGGCCAACUACGUGCCAGCAGCCGCGGUAAUACGUAGGGUGCGAGCGUUGUCCGGAAUUAUUGGGCGUAAAGGGCUCGUAGGCGGUUUGUCGCGUCGGGAGUGAAAACACACAGCUUAACUGUGUGCUGGCUUCCGAUACGGGCAGACUAGAGGUAUGCAGGGGAGAACGGAAUUCCUGGUGUAGCGGUGAAAUGCGCAGAUAUCAGGAGGAACACCGGUGGCGAAGGCGGUUCUCUGGGCAUUACCUGACGCUGAGGAGCGAAAGUGUGGGGAG